rnacentral:rRNA from 1 species
CCUACGGGUGGCAGCAGUCGAGAAUCUUUCACAAUGGUGGAAACCCUGAUCGUGCGACGCCGCGUGGGGGAAUGAAGGUCUUCGGAUUGUAAACCCCUGUCAUGUGGGAGCAAAUUAAAGAGAUAGUACCACAAGCAGAAGAGCCGGCUAACUCUGUGCCAGCAACCGCGGUCAAGCAGCGGUCGCAAGCGUUGUUCGGCAUCACUGGGCGUAAAGGGUGCGUAGGCUGUUUCGUAAGUCGGGGGUGAAAGGCGCGGGCUCAACCCGCGGACGGCACAUGAUACUGCGAGACUAGAGUAGUGGAGAGGUAAGCGGAAUGCGCGGUGUAGCAGUGAAAUGCGUAGAUAUCGAGAGGAACACUCGUUGCGAAGGCGGGUUCCUGGACACGAACUGACGCUGAGGCACGAAGGCCAGGGGAGCGAAAGGGAUUAGAUACCCUUGUAGUC